rnacentral:rRNA from 1 species
CGACAAGCGGAGGAGCAUGUGGUUUAAUUCGAUGAUACGCGAGGAACCUUACCUGGGCUCGAACGUAAGAUGACUGUAGGUGAAAGCUUACAUCUCUUCGGAGCAUUUUACGAGGUGCUGCAUGGUUGUCGUCAGCUCGUGCCGUGAGGUGUCGGGUUAAGUCCCAUAACGAGCGCAACCCCUACCUUUAGUUGCCAUCAGGUUAAGCUGGGGACUCUAAAGGAACUGCCUACGCAAGUAGUGAGGAAGGCGGGGAUGACGUCAAAUCAGCACGGCCCUUACGUCCAGGGCUACACACGUGCUACAAUGGCCGAUACAGAGGGCAGCUACCUGGUGACAGGAUGCAAAUCUCCAAAGUCGGUCUCAGUUCGGAUCGGAGUCUGCAACCCGACUCCGUGAAGUUGGAUUCGCUAGUAAUCGCGCAUCAGCCAUGGCGCGGUGAAUACGUUCCCGGGCCUU